UGUGUGUGUGUGUGUGUGUGUGUGUGUGUGUGUGUGUGUGUGUGUACACAUAUAUGAUAAGGAUAAUUAAUAAAAAUAGUAACGAGUCGCUAAAUGGAAAUAAAGUCUCACAGAUCUUGCCGCCUGACUUUUCGCUUUAUCACAAGGUUUUAGAAUAGAACAAAUUUUAUCUUACUGCGUUUUAUUAAUACUUUUCAUUAAUUUCAUUUCUUAUUCGUCAACUCCAGGAAAUGUAUAAUAAUCUCGAUCGGCUUUUUUCGUUAACUCAACAACCGUUGGCGAUAAUAAUAAUCUUUAUUAGUGAGAAAUUCUAAAAAUUCGUGAUGCAUUGAUAUCUAGCUGUUAGACAAAUCGACGCGACGCGACGUCGCGAACAGAGAGAAAUCGUGCGGCGAAUACAUCUUUUUUUUUUUUAGAGAAAUAACCUGCUGACAUCUGCGUGUGAAGAUGUAAUAAUGCUCUACGUCAGCUGAGCAUUGUCGUCGCUCCGAAUUUCGUCGUUCGACAUGUGCGAGAGCACGUGUCGCGGUACGUUCAGGGUCGCGCAAUCUCGCGUUGUCGUUCUCCCUCUCUCGCUCUUUCUCCUUCCUUACCGCGAUUGUUCGCGCACAUGACGCAAAUCGGCGGCUUGCCAUCGCGGCAUUUUCUUGUUGAUCUGUUUUUCUGAGAACCGCGAGUGUAUCUCGAUGGCCGGAUUAACUCAGAGCUGUCAGAUAUAAUUUCUUGAUUAGGCAGGCGGGCGCCGGGCGGAGGGGUUAGAGAAAAUAUUAAACUCCGAUACGGCGAUCGUGAUUUAUCGCGAUCGUUUCGUCACGUAAGAUUAAGCGCCGCGGAGGAGGGAGUACGAUAUAUACGGCACCUACAGUUUAAAUGCCGGGGUUUCGAACGGCCUAAUUUAGAUUCUCUUGGCAAGAUACUCCUCGGAAGUUUAGCCAUUACCUUCCGAAAGACAGCGAUCGAAUAAAAUUAGAUGUUUCUGAUGGGAUUUGAACCCGGAUCUUGGGGACAGAAAGCAAGACACUCAACUCUCUGCGCCACGGCCGCUACGUUAAAUACAAAACAUAAAAGUGUUGACUAACGAGAAAUGGCUCAAUGGAAAUAAAUCAAAGUACAAACCAAUGCCACGAAAGACGACACUGGAUGCUCGCGUGUAAAAUAAUAUAUAAUAUUAUCAGCGAUUACAAAUAAGCGUUUUAAUCCUCAGUUUUGGAUCAUCUUCAGUAUAAAUAAUAUAAAAAGUGUUUUGUAUUUAAAUACUCUAUAUAAAAGCAUUUUGUAUCUUGUAUUCAAAUACAUAUUUUGAAAGUUGUUCAUUUUGUAUUUAUUAUAAAUGCAAUUUUUUAUGUUUUUGCCCGUGCUAACUCUCUCGAUCUCUCGUGCGUUUACGUCGCUUUCAAAAUGGUUCAUACGCGUUAAAGUACGCAUGAUGCGCCGGGAGAUGAUACAGCUUGAGAGAUUAAUUUUCUCCGCGCGUACACUCCAGUCAUUCUCGCAUCGUCUCUCAUCGGAAUGCUCCCGCCUGUCGACCGGUUACAAUCGUGUCGCGGUUGUCACCUGUCAGAUUGUCACUCGGUCGUCCAAUUAUCCUGCCGCCGCGCCGGGUGGUGCGAGCGAGCGAGCGCGACGGAGAGGGAUGCGGCUGUUAGCCGACCGAGUUCAACGAGUUCCCCCGGAAGAGAAGUGGGGCGGGCGCGCUCGCGCUCUCGAGAACGGUGCCGGGGCGAAAAUAGGUGCGAUAGAGGUAGGACGUUACCUGAAUAUUUUACGGACGACCCGGUGAUGGUUAAGACCGUCGUUAUCCGCGGCCUCGCUAUAAAAAGCCCACGCGGGCGUCGUCGCUCGGAGGCGUCGUCGUCCUCGGCCCGAGAGCCCGUCACCGUACCUCUUUAUUCGCUUUUAUUCCUCGUGAGUGAUCGCCCUCGGUAUAGGCGCAGCGCAACGCCGAGGGCCGCCCAUUCAAACGGCGGUGGCGGCUUCCCUUCAUUCGCGUUGCUCGCGAAACUCGCCGGACGAGUAGUCCAAAGUAUACCGAGGGUCGGGAUUAUCGAUUCGACCAGAAAUAACGUCACCGGCGAUUCUGUACAAAAAUUCCGACGAAAAUAUUGCUUCCGUACGAACGUCGUAUAAGUAUGUUACGUCCAGUUUUAUUAGAAUUCUUGUCAGGGCGUUUGUUGUUCCUUAUUGUCAAGCUUAAAUGAUGAAAGGGCGGUUAAAUAAAACGAUCCGUGAUCCUUGUUCAGUUUGGAACAGGCAGUUCUUUCUUUUGCGCGAACUUAAAUUGGUAGUAACCAAUUUAAAGUUACUUAACGGCGAAAUUGUCGGGAUUGAAGAAAAUAAGCUUUAAGCACGGGAUAAGUGAAAAGAUAAGAGAAUUUUCAUUAAUUAUCAAUAUAAAUUUUAUUUUUAGAAUCUUUAUUAAAAAUUGAUUCUUAUUAUGGAAGGAGCACUGUAUACGGCUUGGAAAAAAAUUAUUGGGCAGGAGAAACAGAAAUAGAGUUUCUUAUAAAGUAUUUUGUGAUUUUUCCGCUGCAGUAUCUUCCCUAGAACCGGCGUGUCUUCUCGAGACAAAGAAACCGUAAAUCUUCGAGGAAAAGCGUAAGACAUCGAUGUUAUCGGAGCGGGUUUCCCCGAUCAGCCUGGUCCUUCGAGGGGAUCUAUCCGUGAGCUCGAGGGUGAGAACGAGCGGCACUAAAGGUCGGUUAAGGGACGAAAAGAGGGUAGACGAAAUAGGAAGAAAGGAUCUCUUCUCCUCUGGCGUUUUUUUUUUGUCUGCAGUAUACACAUCUUAGAGAACCCCACGCUCGUGAAAAUCCCGAACGUGACUCGCAGCUUCCGCCAAUUUCCACCGGAAGAGACUCCGAAACCGUGUGUCUGCCACGAAGGAGACGAAUAGUUGACGUCCAUUGUCCCCGUGAAGUUCCAGUAACAGUGGGCGUUUCUGAUUAAUCCCUUUAUAAAAUGUCCCUCCUUUGACUCGUCCGAAUUUAAAUUUUUACGAAGUUAUUGUAACUGCAGCUGGCUCGGAUAUUCCACACCGGUUUCUAAAAACUAUAUUCCGAGAACAGGAUCGAUAAUCUCCUGAUAUUUUUGCGCACAUUACAUUCUUAUGUAUCUUUUAUAAAAGUUCACGUGUAAAUCUAUAUUUUCUCUCAAUUCGCGAUAGAAGAUCCUUUCUUAUGAUUCGUUAUUUUUGUAUAAUUGUUAUAAUUCAAGAAUUUAUACAUUUACCCAUAAAGCAAUCAAUUCUUUCAAUUAUAUUUCAUAGAAUUUUACGUAGAAGAUACUAUGAUAGAAUCAUGUCGAUUUCGUGAUCCCGAUAUAAAGUUUAAACGUAGAUUUCGUCAGUAUUUUGAUGAAAAUGUUUAGCAAGGACAUUGUACUAGUCAGUAAAAAAAAAAAAAAAUAUAUAUAUAUAUAUAUAUAUGGUAUAUUGUGGUUAUCACAAUUUAUCGUUUUCCCAGAAGAAUGAGGUAUCUCGUUUCUUGGACGACCGAUUCGCACUGAUAACAUCGGCAGUGUCGCCUCGUCGACGAUUUACGGGUCCUCUUGCGUCAAGCAUCUAUCGUAUGGGAUAUAAAAGUCGAUAGUCUUGAGAGCGCACCGUGAUCGUCGGAUGUAGGAAAAGAACAAUGAUAUUCAAGAUACUUCGCACGCGCGACGUUUCGAACAACUUGCUCCUGCCGUAUUUCGCUAAUUAGUCGCAAAAAAAGAAUAUGCCUUCUCAUUAUCUUAAUUAUCUACAGUCAGCUUUGCUUGCAUGAAAACGACGUGUGGCAACGCAAAAGAUAUUUUAGAACUGCGUUCGCUCGUAAUGUAUUCCGAGCGUAUGCGAGGCUUUACUUAAAAAUCCAUUCAAAUGUGGUCUCUACGUAUUUCCUCGUUUCGUAAGACCGCAUUGUUAAAUUUAGCAUUAAAGGUCAAAGGUCUGGCUCGAGCUGCAUUAUAUACGGCACAGCGGGUCCCUUUUCAGGCGAACCGUCAUCCAGCGUAAUUUUUAUCGCCCCGAAUUAUGUGCCCGCGUGAGUAGACAGAGCAGAAAUAUCGCGAGUUGUUUACCCUGCUUACGAUGCCGCGCUGAUUGUGACUAACGGCAAAAAACAAGCGAUUAGAGAGUAUGGCCGAAAUCUUAUCAGCAGCGCGACUAAUACGCAAUCUGCUUUUUAUCGGUCUUAUUUGCAAGCGACUUCACCAAAUUACGAUGAGUCAUUGCUGUCAUCAGCACACGGAGGCGCACACGGCGAUUCGAGCCUUGCUAUAUCACUCCGAGCAAUCGCUUUGAUAAGGCUUUUUUGACGCGAAAUGUGCUUGACAAAUAUGUAUAAUCUCGUGUUGCGAGAACGUAACUUAUAUACGUACUCCUAUUCUCAGAACAAUUAUCUAUAGAGCGUAGAAAAAUGUUUGAAGAAAAUCAGAAAACUUUGAUAAGACGCGUUCGAUAGAUGUAAGAUUUAAUUUAAUUAAGAGGCAUUGAAGAUAAUGAAAUCUGCACAGUUAAAAAAACUUGUGUUAAAUUUAACAUAAAAUGAAUGUGUGAAAGUAACGUAAAUAUUAUAUAAAAGCAUUAAUGUUAAAAUUGUAACACUUUGACGUAAUUUGGAAACAGAUUGUGAAAAUAUAUUUCAUUAGUAAAAUUAAUAUUUAUAUUAAUUAUAUAUAUCUCAUAAUGUUAACACAUAUGUGUGUUAAAAUUUAAAUUUAUUUUUAAAAAACUAUAUUAUCUUCAUGUUAUUUGUUUCUUUACUCAUAAAUUAUGUCAUUUUAAUACUAAGAAAUGUUGAACAUCAAUUUAACACAAAAUAUUCAGAUAACACAAUCACGUAUUAAAUUAAAAUUCAAAUAUGUCAAAAUUUAACACAAAAAUUGUAACAGAAUCCGGUAUUAAUAUAAAUACAAAGAUUUUACUGCGUAGUGAUUUGACAAAUAAUCGUUUCUCUUAAUAUUUGCUUUGAGGAAAGAUUGAUUUUAAAUUUUAUUGGCACAAAUUAUAUAUAUUUAAAAAUGUGAUUAUACUUUCUGACACAAUUCUAACAUAAUGAAAAUUUUAUCUAACAUUAAACAUUAAAGAUGUUCGAUCUUUCCUAUCGUGUAGCUGACUGCAACUUGACAUGUCGAUAUCUUCACCUCCAGUUACGUAUUUAGUUUCCACAUCAAACUGCUUCGAUAUAUACACGUAUUAAGAUCGUAUCUUUAGCAACGGUAAUGCAGAUGCGCCGAUGCGAUCGCGGGACAAUAUUAUCACGAGAUAACAUCAACAGAGAAUUAUACCUGCGCUGAUAAGCGAUAUCAAGCGAUCCGAUCGGGAACGUGAAAUACGCCUUUAUGGGAGGAUUCCGUGUUCUCUCCUGAUGCACUAGACGUAGUCUCGCUUUUUUGCUUCCCUAUCGAUAUCAUAGGAGAUCCCGACAUCUCAUUAAAUAACGGGUACAGGUUACCGCGAUCAAGAAUCUCGACAAUAAAUUAUACGAUCGGCUCGGCGGAGGCAUUCACAACUUAUCCUCGUCCCAUUGAUGCAUCCUUUCCUGUUUUCUCAUUUUCCCUUUUCUAAUUCCCUUUAAUCUUCCUCUUUUUCCCGGUGCUGUCGUUUAGAAUUUUUGUGGUUUUAAAACGUGAAAAUUAGGGAUCGCGUAUCCUUUUAUAGGCUAAGUCGAAGACGAAGUUCUCGAAUACUGAAUCCCUUUAAGAUUUAUUGUUUCUUAGAGUUCACUCGUGUGAAGGUUUUUGGAAAAUCCAGAAACUUUUCCUGAAAAUAAGUAGGUAAAUCGCAAACUGAAGUGAGACACUGUGUGAACGUGUGUUAGAAUUCCACUGUAUGCUUUUCUCGUCUAAGAAUUGUUAGGAGUCGCUCCUAGAAAGAUUUUCUUGGUACAAUACGCAAUGGAAUACUAAAGAACUUAAAUUUUAAGAGAAUUAACAUAUAUUCAUGUGCACAAGUUAUAAACAAGUUUUACAUAUGUAUAAAUAUAUAACGAAUGCAAUUAGUUAAGAACAAGAAUGUAAAUUUACAUAUAAAUUGAUUAUAUUGAGAGAAAAAAUUUUAAUGUCAUGCGACGUUUCUUUUUGUUUCCGCAUGUUGCUGUUGCAAAAAAGUUAACAUUAGCAAAGUAAGACGUAUAAAAUAUGUUUAAAAAAAUAGCGAUUUCACAAUGCUAAAUUGAGUUUCAAUAGAUAUAGUUUAUUUAUUUCUAACUUAUAACUCACUCGUUCAUUAACCUUUAUUCGUUUUUUUUUUUUUUUUUAAUCAUAUUGAGGUAUUUAGAUCGUAACAAGUUUAUUAAUCGCGUGAACAGUUUGCUCAAUGUGACCUUGUCUCGACAGACACUAUUAUUGUAGCCAUCUAUAGGAUAUUGAAGAGAAGCAAGAAAAAGGGAUAAGGUGAAAAACGGAUUAGAUAAGGGUUGGCUUAUGCCCGAUGGGCUUGUGUGUUAGUGGAUGAAAGAAAGCCCCUAAAUCUCGAUCGUAAAUAUAACAGGAACAAAAAACGGACGUUGUGGCAAAUACCAAAGUCUAUUUACUUUCCCACCUCGUCGUACAGAAAUGAGAGUUAUCGAUUCGGGACGAUAGCUCUAUGGUGUGCGAACACGAGCGGGAAGAAGAAUAAUCGCAGAUGCGCGCUGACAAAAAAACAAAAGCGCUUCUUUAACGGGUGAAAUGCCAGUUCGAUCGGCACGGAUUCAAUUCGGACUUUAAUCAGACACGGAUUUGAGAUUCAAUCGUUUCCGCUCUUCGCGUGUUUCCCCGAAGGAUUCCAAUGACCGCAAAUUAUCGCUCGCGAUUCUAUCGAGUCUGAUAAUUGAAACGUGAAUAAGUCCUUUCUUAAUCGCCUUUAAGCCAAUUAUUACAAAGCUAAAAAAAAAAAAAAA